rnacentral:rRNA from 1 species
AGUUGGUGGAGUGAUUUGUCUGGUUAAUUCCGUUAACGAACGAGACCUCAGCCUGCUAAAUAGUGGCAGUAUCCUCACGGAUGCUUCGUCGACUUCUUAGAGGGACUAUCAGCGUUUAGCUGAUGGAAGUUUGAGGCAAUAACAGGUC